CCAACGUAUUGGGAAGCAAGUACUAAACGGAAGCUCGCGACGAUUUCGGAGUCCUAAGCACAUCAUUUGAGAGCACAUAUUAGGUCCUGAGGCAAGCACUCGCAAAAUACCAUAGUAAAGCUAGAUAACAACAUGCAGCGGCAGCAGCCGAUGAGGAUAUUCUGCCGGGCGAACACAAGCUUGAACCUGGCCUGCCGUGGCGACAAGGUGCUUCUCGUCCGAGCCGACUCCAGCGACAGAUCCCAGCACUGGAUCAAGGACUCAAGUGCUGUCGGGAACCUGACCGAUAACCAGGGCGCAAGGGCAUUUGCACUGGUGAAUGUAACUACGGGACAGGCCCUGGUGAACCUGAACUCUGAGGCGGAGCUGCGGCUGGCUCCCUACAGCGGCCAUGUAAGCGUGGAGCUCCCGCUGCUGUGGUCGCUGGGCAAGGAACUCGUUGAUGGCUUCAGCGAAAUAAGAGCACUCCAAGAAAACAUCUUCUUCUCCUUAACGUUCAACGCCUUUGGUGGAAUACCCGUCCGGGAAGGAGCGGUCGUUGGGACCUAUCGUUCGCAACCAUCUUACAAUCAUGCCAUAUGGAAGAUCGCUCCCAUCAACCAGUGAUAUGAUCAUAACGGAAGGACUGGCGCGGGUUGCUGUUCUGCGCGGAAGAUGAUGAAGAACAAUAAUUCUUGUAAAGAGAACCGUACCUCUGCCCUGAAGAAUACAAACACGCGCUAGAGCUUAUUGCUUAAUUGCUUCCAUAAGUGUAUCUAUAUAUCUUAUAUAAGUGGAAUCUACUACAUGCCAUCAAUGUUAUUUUCUCGUCAUCGCUACUUUUUUAGCAAUCCGAUUGGUUGGACUAUUUGCUGCUCUCCA